ACUCGCUUAAAGGUCAUGGAGAUCAUCUGAUGCAUGAGAUGGAAAUUUCUCAUGCCAAAACAAUAUUGACAGCUUAUCAAGCAGGGAGGAAAGUACAAUAAUAAAAUAGAAUGUAAGCCUCUCCAAGGGGGCAAUUCCCUUAGACCAACAAAGAAGGAAUCUCCUCAAACAAAAUCACAGCUCAGAGAAAGGAAGAGGCUCAGAUGCCUGAUUCUCCCAGAAAGGAUCAAUUCCUCACCCUCCCUGGAAAGUUAUUUAAAGAGCACUAAAGACAUGCUCUGAAACAAACUUACUGAGAGCAUAAGAAGAUCCAUAGCCCACAUAUGGCUCAGGAAACAAGCAUAUGACUCCAUUUCAAUGGGAACUAAAUGAAUGGAUGAGGAUGGAACAUGACUUUAUGCCUAACAGAGGAGGUGAAAGUACUGAGAGAGAGCAAAACAGAAGUAUUUGUUCAUAAUUCCUUUCUGUUGUAUCCUGUGCAGCCAACUGCUUCUUUACUGCUAAGCGACAUGUGAAGUAUUUAAUCCAUAUUAAUAAAAGAACAAUACAAUAUGAAACAACCAUACCUGGGGUCUUGUGAAAUUGUGAGGUUUCUGUUGCAUGGCUAAAGAGGCAUACUCAACACUUCUUUUGACAAGAUGGCAUUUAUUGAUUACUCCUAACAGCAACAAUUAAAGAAGGAAAUAUACAAGAAAGGAAAGCAACACU